GAAUGUGCAGCUUUGUGGCCUUAGUUUUGCAAAAACUAUUGAGAAACUUUUAGUUUCCACAUUCU
rnacentral:tRNA from 2 species